CCUAUACUGGUGGGGUCCCUCAGCCAGGCCUGUGGUGGCUUUCCGACAUUCCCUGAGGGGUCCCAGAUUGUGAGAGGGCACAGGCCAGGCUGAGGGACCCCACCGGUGCACA
rnacentral:pre_miRNA from 1 species